rnacentral:misc_RNA from 1 species
GAUGAAGACGUAGCGAAAUGCGAUAAGUAGUGUGAAUUGCAGAAUUCAGUGAAUCAUCGAAUCUUUGAACGCACAUUGCGCCCUUUGGUAUUCCUUAGGGCAUGCCUGUUCGAGCGUCAUUUAAACCUUCAAGCUAAGCUUGGUGUUGGGUGACUGUCCGCUUCACUGCGGACUCGCCUCAAAAUUAUUGGCGGCCGGUACAUUGGCUUCGAGCGCAGCAGAAACGCGAACUCGGGCCCGUCGUAUUGGCUCCCAGAAGCUAUCUUCACAAUUUUGACCUCGGAUCAGGUAGGGAUACCCGCUGAACUUAAGCAUAUCAAUAAGCGGAGGA